GGCCUACCAUGGUUUUAACGGGUAACGGGGAAUUAGGGUUCGAUUCCGGAGAGGGAGCCUGAGAAACGGCUACCACAUCCAAGGAAGGCAGCAGGCACGCAAAUUACCCAAUCCCGAUACGGGGAGGUAGUGACAAUAAAUAACAAUACAGGGCUCUUAUGGGUCUUGUAAUUGGAAUGAGUACAAUUUAAAUCCCUUAACGAGGAACAAUUGGAGGGCAAGUCUGGUGCCAGCAGCCGCGGUAAUUCCAGCUCCAAUAGCGUAUAUUAAAGUUGUUGCAGUUAAAAAGCUCGUAGUUGAAUUUCGGGGUUCUAUUGUUGUCGGGCAAUUGUCUGUACUAGCGUGUGGAAUUUCUACCUUCUGGGAAACCAUCAUGUUAUUAAUUUAGCGUGGUGGGAAACCAGAACCUUUACCUUGAAAAAAUUAGAGUGUUUAAAGCAGGCUUACGUCUGAAUACAUUAGCAUGGAAUAAUAAAAUAGGACGGUGGUCCUGUUUUGUUGGUUUCUGAAUCACCGUAAUGAUUAAUAGGGAUAGUUGGGGGCAUUAGUAUUCAAUUGUCAGAGGUGAAAUUCUUGGAUUUAUUGAAGACUAACUUCUGCGAAAGCAUUUGCCAAGGAUGUUUUCAUUAAUCAAGAACGAAAGUUAGGGGAUCGAAGACGAUCAGAUACCGUCGUAGUCUUAACCAUGAACUAUGCCGACUAGGGAUCGGACGAUGUUAAUUUUUCUUGACUCGUUCGGCGCCUUACGGGAAACCAAAGUGUUUGGGUUC
rnacentral:rRNA from 1 species